UAUGACAGUCAUCAAACCUCCACCGAGUCUCUGGGUUCAGACCGUAAUGCUGGAGAACAGCAGAUGCUGCAGACGCCACUGAAGAUGUGCUCAGUCACACUGCUGGACUACAGGAAGAUGAAGACGAAGAGAGAAGCCACAGCUGAGGAACAACAGAGCCAUGAUGAGGAUUUCAAUCCUUCAGAGUUGCAGAAGUCCGAAAGCACUCUCUGCUCGGGGUCAGAGAGACUCGUCGUCUCAAUCCCACAUCAUUAACGCUUCAAGACCCUGAUGACUAUUGACUUACAUGGCUCUAUGAGAGCGCUUUGGACUUCAGAUUGGUGUCACAGUACUCUGAAAACCAGAGCUCGUUCUCAUGUGCUGACAGGCCUUUCUCAGCCGAUGAUCAGCAGCUGAUUGGCCG